AGGGCGUAUGGCGGAUGCCUUGGCUCUCAGAGGCGAUGAAGGACGUUGUAAGCUGCGAUAAGCUGUGGGGAUUGGUUAACACGAAUUGAUCCGCAGAUUUCCGAAUGGGGCAACCCGCUUUAGUAACGCUAAAGAAUCCCUAAUUAGGGAGGCAAACCCAGUGAACUGAAACAUCUUAGUAACUGGAGGAAGAGAAAACAAUAGUGAUUUCGCAAGUAGUGGUGAGCGAACGCGAAAUAGCCCAAACCAAAUCUGUUUCGAUAGAUUUGGGGUUAUAGGACCGAUAUAACGUUUAUAUAAGAGAACUCGAAUUAUACCUGGAAAGGUAUACCAAAGAAUGUGAUAGUCAUGUAGAGGUAAACGAAUAUAGAUAAUUGGUAUCCUGAGUAGGUCGGAGCAGGUGAAACUCCGAUUGAAUUUGCCAGCACCAUCUGGUAAGGCUAAAUACUACUGAGAGACCGAUAGUGAACUAGUACCGUGAGGGAAAGGUGAAAAGAACCCUGAAUAAGGGAGUUAAAAGAACCUGAAACCAUACGCCUACAAGCGGUCGGAGCAUUCUAUUUAUAGAAUGUGACGGCGUGCCUUUUGCAUAAUGAGCCUACGAGUUAGUCUUUUUGGCUAAAGGUUAAUCCUUUCAGAGGAGGAGCCGUAGCGAAAGCGAGUCCGAAUAGGGCGUUUUUAAAAAAGUCAGAGGGACUAGACGCGAAACUUGGUGAUCUACCCAUGGCCAGGUUGAAGCUUUGGUAAAACAGAGUGGAGGACCGAACCCGUAGCAGAUGAAAAUGCUUGGGAUGAGCUGUGGGUAGCGGUGAAAAGCCAAUCGAACCAAGAGAUAGCUCGCACAUUCCGAAAUGCUUUUAGGAGCAGCCUUAAUUAAUAGACUAUUAGAGGUAGAGCUACCGAUCGGAUAAGGGGGAGUCAAAUCCUACCUUGUCCAGACGAACUCCGAAUGCUAAUAGUUGUUUUUUAGGAGUGAGGACUAGGGUGCUAAGGUCCUAGUCCGAGAGGGAAAGAACCCAGACCAGCCGCUAAGGCCCCCAAGUAUAGACUAAGUUGAACUAAGGAAGUUCCGUUACAAAGACAGCCAGGAUGUUGGCUUGGAAGCAGCCAUCAUUUAAAGAGUGCGUAACAGCUCACUGGUCAAGUAACAGAGUACCAAUGAUGAACGGGCAUAAAGUCUAUCGCCGAAGCGAUGGCUCUACUACGUAAGUAGUAGGGGGUAGGAAUGCAUUCUGAUAGGGCUGAAGCUAAGAGGUAACUCUUUGUGGACCGAUCAGAAAAGAAAAUGUAGGCAUAAGUAACGAUAAUAAUGGCGAGAAACCAUUACACCAAAAGACUAAGGUUUCCACGGCCAUGCUAUUCAUCCGUGGGUUAGUCGGAUCCUAAGCCGUAGCCGAAAGGCGAAGGUGAUGGACAAUCGGUUAAUAUUCCGAUACUAGCUUAUUUUAGUGAUGGGGUAACAGAGGAGUGAAAGAUCUGCCUGGUGACGAAUUACCAGGUUGAAGCCCGUAGGUAUAGUUUUAGGUAGUAAAUCUCCUAGAACUGCCGAAGGUGAUAGUACUACAAAUCUUAGGAGGAGUAGAUAAUGAUCCUAACCAUGCUCUCAAGAAAAACCUCUAAGCGUUUUAACAAAUAGGUUAUCCGUACCGCAAACCGACACAGGUAGUUGGGGAGAGAAUCCUAAGGUGUUCGAGUGAUUCGUGGCUAAGGAACUAGGCAAAAUCGCCCUGUAACUUCGGGAUAAAGGGUGCCUCCCUGUUUGCUCCUUUAGGAGCAAACAGGAGGCCGCAGUGAAAAGGUCCAAACGACUGUUUAUCAAAAACACAUGGCUUUGCUAAGUCGAAAGACUAGGUAUAAGGCCUGACACCUGCCCAGUACUGGAAGGUUAAGAUGAGGUGUUAGUCUUUUAGACGAAGCUCUGAGUUGAAGCCCCAGUAAACGGCGGCCGUAACUAUAACGGUCCUAAGGUAGCGAAAUUCCUUGUCGGGUAAGUUCCGACCUGCACGAAUGGUGCAACGAUUUGGAUACUGUCUCGGCCACGAGCUUGGUGAAAUUGUAGUAGCGGUGAAGAUGCCGCUUACCCGCAACGGGACGGAAAGACCCCGUGCAGCUUUACUAUAGCUUCAUAUUGGUAUUUAGUUCAUAAUGUGUAGUAUAGGUGGGAGACUUUGAAGCAGUGUCGUCAGGCAUUGUGGAGUUAUUAGUGAAAUACCACCCUUUAUGAAUUGAAUAUCUAACCUCAUAAUAUGGGGGACAGUGUGUGGUGGGUAGUUUGACUGGGGUGGUCGCCUCCAAAAGAGUAACGGAGGCUUUCAAAGGUACCCUCAGUACGGUCGGUAAUCGUAUGUAGAGUAUAAUAGCAUAAGGGUGCUUGACUGAGAGACCUACAAGUCGAACAGGAUCGAAAGAUGGAUAUAGUGAACCGGUGGUUUCCGCAUGGAAGGGCCAUCGAUCAAAGGAUAAAAGUUACGCCGGGGAUAACAGGCUUAUCCCCCCUAAGAGCUCAAAUCGACGGGGGGGUUUGGCACCUCGAUGUCGGCUCGUCACAUCCUGGGGCUGAAGAAGGUCCCAAGGGUUGGGCUGUUCGCCCAUUAAAGUGGCACGCGAGCUGGGUUCAGAACGUCGUGAGACAGUUCG
rnacentral:rRNA from 1 species